rnacentral:ncRNA from 1 species
GUGUUGUAUGAAAGGAGAAAAAGUUAUCACUCCCCUUGACAAGGAUGGAAGAGGCUCUCGGGUGUGACAACAUGUAUACGAUUAAGGCAUUGUCUACCUACUUUGUGGCAUCUAACCAAAUUUUUUG